UUUUCAAGUCAGUCACAUGAUGAAGGAAGUGAUAGAACAGCACAUCUGUUAAGGUGGGCAGUUCCUGAAACCUUCAUCACCCUAGCUUGUGGAAAAGCACUGGACCUGGAGUUGUGGAGAAUGAGAUCGUGGACAGGGCUUGGAUCCUGCCCCCAGCUCACACAGUCCAUGGAGCAGACAGAUAUGCACACAGCACUGAUAAAAGGCAAGGUGCUAACAUAUAAAACGGGCACAAAGUGCUCCUCAUGUAUGAAAGGAGAGCUUAAUUCUCACUGGGGACUGAGAACACUUUCUUGGAGAUGCUGACAUUUUUCCUGGGCCUUUCCUUGAGAUAAUUAAAAUGAGGAAUAAAAAAUCAUUCCCCCUUGGCCAGGCGCGGUAGUUCAUGCUUGUAAUCCCAGCACUUUGGGAGGCCAAGGCGGGCGAAUCACGAGGUCAGGAGUUUGAGACCAGCCUAGCCAAUAUAGUGAAACCCUGUCUCUACUAAAAAUACAAAAAUUAGCCAGGCGUGGUGGCGUGCACCUGUAGUCCCAGCUACCUGGACGGCUGAGGCAGAGAAUUGCUUGAACCCGGGAGGCGGAGGUUGCAGUGAGCCAAGAUCGUGCUACUGCACCCCAGCCUGGGCGACAGAGGAAGACUCCGUCUCAAAAACAACAACAAAAGUCAUUCCCCGUCUAUAAACGCCUUGAUGUGCGUCAUGCUUGUAUAAAGCAAAUGCAUUUGGCUGUAGGGGGAAGGGAACAAACCUUAUUUACCACCUUAUGUGUUAGGCACUUUAUUUAUUUUUUGGCUGGAGUGCAAUGGCACAUUCACAGCUCACUGCAGCCUCAACCUCCCAGGCUCAAAUGAUCCUCCCACCCCAGCCUCCCAAGUAGCUGGGACCACAGGUGCAUGCCACCAUGUCCAGGUAAUUUUUUAAUUUUUUGUAGAGAUGGGGUCUCCUUAUGUUGCCCAGACUGGUCUCGAACUCCUGGGCUCAAGCAAUCCACCUGCCUCUGCCUCCCAAACUGCUGAGAUUAUAGGUGUGAGCCAGUGCACCCAGCCAUGUUAGGCACUUUAAAUGCCACAUUUCACUAAAUCCUGACAACCCUACAGAGAAAGUGGCAUCAUACUGAGAGGUGAAGCCAGCUAGACUUCCUGGGUCAAGCGAGGACUUGGAGUUCUGUCUUACAAGAUGAUUGUAAAAACACACCAAUCAGCACUCUGUGUCUAGCUAAAGGAUUGUAAAUGCACCAAUCAGCGCUCUGUGUCUAACUAAAGGAUUGUAAAUGCAGCAAUCAGCACUCUGUAAAAUGGACCAAUCAGCGCUCUGUAAAAUGGACCAAUCAGCAGGACGUGGGCAGGGACAAAUAAGGGAAUAAAAGCUGGCCACCCCCAGCCAGCAGAGGCAACCCGCUUGGGUCCCCUUCGACACUGUAGAAGCUUUGUUCUUUUGCUCUUCACAAUAAAUCUUGCUGCUGCUUA